CCUACGGGUGGCAGCAGUGGGGAAUAUUGGGCAAUGGGCGCAAGCCUGAUCCAGCAACGCCGCGUGAAGGAAGAAGGCCCUCGGGUUGUAAACUUCUUUUAUUAGGGACGAAACAAAUGAUGGUACCGAAUGAAUAAGCCACUGCUAACUACGUGCCAGCAGCCGCGGUAAUACGUAGGUGGCCAGCGUUAUCCGGAUUUACUGGGUGUAAAGGGCGUGUAGGCGGGAGAGCAAGUCAGACGUGAAAUUCCAGGGCUCAACCAUGGAACGGCGUUUGAAACUGUGCUGCGUGAGUGAUGGAGAGGCAAGCGGAAUGCCUGGUGUAGCGGUGAAAUGCGUAGAGAUACGGAGGAACACCAGUGGCGAAGGCGGCUUACUGGACAUUAACUGACGCUGAGGCGCGAAAGCGUGGGGAGCAAACAGGAUUAGAUACCCGAGUAGUC
rnacentral:rRNA from 1 species